GCAGUGGUGGUUCAGUGGUAGAAUUCUCACCUUUCAUGUGAGAGAACUAGGUUUGUGUCCCAGUCAAUGAA
rnacentral:tRNA from 1 species